GGUUCAAAUGUGCCCAAAAAUUAAGGUUAAUAGGUUACGAUCUGCGCACAUUGCAUUCACUGUGCUUGUUGCUUGCUAAAGGUUGCCUAAAAUACCUAACAGAAUGACAAGUCCCAUGUUGAUGCUGUAUCUGAAUGCCACUCAAGCAAGUGGAGUAGUUUCCCUGCUUAGCUUCAGCCUCAUAUCUUUAAAAUAAAAUAUGCAUUCACAAGUUAUUUCAUUAGGUUCACCUGCUUGAUAAUGCAAAUAUUGAAUUAGCCAGCCAGUCAGUGUGAUAUAAGAACAUGGCAAAGGAUCAGUCUGUUCGUGUCAGACAGAAACUAUUGAUCUACUGGGAUUUUUACGGCACAGCCAUCACUAGGGUUUACAGAGAAUGGUAGCAGUUCUCUGCCUGAAAAUGCUUUGCUGAUGCCAAAGGUCAGAGAAGAAUUGUCAGACUACUGUGAGCUGAUAGUAAGCUGAUAUUAAGGCAAGAGUAGCUCACAUAACCACUCAUGACAAAUCUUCAAGUAAAUGGUCUACAGUGACAGAAGCAGGGUGCCAUUCCUGUCAGUUAAAAAUAGUAAACUGAGAUAUGUGGAGAAGUUGUCAUUUACUGAAGUAUGAUGUAAUACUGCUUUUAUAUCUGUUUGGGUUUUUCUCUCUUUCUUUCUUUAAAGCCACCUACUAUCUGUAUCAAGCCAAAAAGAACUGCGCACAAUGCAGCCCCCCCUUUUAUUUAUGUAUUUAUUUUAUUCUAUUUUUGUUUGUUUGUUUUUUUUGGGUGGGUUUUGUUUUUUGGUUUGUUUUUUUUUUCUUUUUGUUUGUUUGUUGUUGUUUUUUUUGCCUUGUUCACAUGAUAGUACUUUUUUGUAUGUGCCCAUAGAUUACACGUUUUCCUGCAUGCCAAGUUUCACAAUGGCAGUGUUUGUAAUCGCAAUUCGAGUUAUAUUUUUCUGUACUUUUGUCAUAUUGGAAAAUUAUAAAUAAAGUUGUCAAAAAAAAAUAGUGAACUGAGGCUCGAAUUUGUGCAUGCUCACCAAAAUUGGACAUUAGAAAACUGGAAAACAUUGCCUGAGUCUUAAUUUAUGCUGCAACAUAAAGCGUCCUGGAUCCAUUCUGCUUUGUAUCAACUGUUCAGGCUGGGGAUGGUAGCGAUGCAAUGGUGUGGAGUGUGUUGUGGUCUGAAUGUGAACCAAAAUCUACGAAGAAUGUUUCCAGUACCUUGAGGAAUCUAUACUAUAGAGAGUUAAGGCAGUUCUCAAGGCAAAAGACAAUCAAAGUUGGUUAAACAAAGGUGUAACUAAUGAGGUGGUUGAUAAGUUUACGUUAGAUCCAUCCAUUUUUGUCUGCUUAUCGAAUUCAGGGUCAUGGGGUGGCUUAAGCCUAUCCCACCUGUCAAAGGGCAAGCCACCAAUUUGUUGCACAAAGAGACAGACAACCAUCAUUCUGUGGUCGAUUUAAAAUCACCAGUUAAUGUAAUGGCGUCGUUGGACUGGAAGGUGUUGCCAGAGAGAGCCCACACAGACACUGGGAGAUCAUGCAAACUCCACUGUAAAGGGACCCAGAUGGAAAGGUCUUGCUCUGAGGUGACAGUGCUAACCAUCACACCACCAUGCCAGCUCCAUGUUAGAUCAAAAUGUCAAAAUUUAUGUGGAAUGUCAGAAUUAAAUUAAAGUUCAGAACGAUUUGUUG
ensembl:lncRNA